GCCAGACUCCUACGGGAGGCAGCAGUGGGGAAUAUUGGACAAUGGGGGGAACCCUGAUCCAGCGACGCCGCGUGAGUGAAGAAGUAUUUCGGUAUGUAAAGCUCUCUCAGCAGGGAAGAAAGAAAUGACGGUACCUGACUAAGAAGCCCCGGCUAACUACGUGCCAGCAGCCGCGGUAAUACGUAGGGGGCAAGCGUUAUCCGGAUUUACUGGGUGUAAAGGGAGCGUAGACGGCAUGGCAAGUCAGAUGUGAAAGCCCGGGGCUCAACCCCGGGACUGCAUUUGAAACUGUCAGGCUGGAGUGCAGGAGAGGUAAGUGGAAUUCCUAGUGUAGCGGUGAAAUGCGUAGAUAUUAGGAGGAACACCAGUGGCGAAGGCGGCUUACUGGACUGUAACUGACGUUGAGGCUCGAAAGCGUGGGGAGCAAACAGGAUUAGAUACCCGCGUAGC
rnacentral:rRNA from 1 species